rnacentral:rRNA from 1 species
CCUACGGGUGGCAGCAGUAGGGAAUUUUCGUCAAUGGGCGCAAGCCUGAACGAGCAAUGCCGCGUGAACGAGGAAGGUCUUCGGAUCGUAAAGUUCUGUUGAAGGGGCAAAAGAGCGGAGAGAGGACAUGGUCUCCGAUUGAUAUUACCCUUCGAGGAAGUCACGGCUAACUACGUGCCAGCAGCCGCGGUAAUACGUAGGUGGCGAGCGUUAUCCGGAAUGAUUGGGCGUAAAGGGUGCGUAGGCGGCCUGCGAAGUCUGGAGUGAAAGGUACCGGCUCAACCGGUAUAGGCUCUGGAAACGGGCGGGCUAGAGAGCAGGAGAGGGCGGUGGAACUCCAUGUGUAGCGGUAAAAUGCGUAGAUAUAUGGAAGAACACCAGUGGCGAAGGCGGCCGCCUGGCCUGUUACUGACGCUGAGGCACGAAAGCGUGGGGAGCAAAGAGGAUUAGAUACCCCUAUAGUC